UACAGAGGUCUCAAGCGUUGUUCGGAUUCAUUGGGCGUAAAGCGCACGCAGGCGGUCGAUUAAGUUUGGAGUGACAGUUGGUGGCUUAACUGCCAAAGUGCUUUGAAAACUGAUCGACUUGAGGGCUUCAGAGGGACACGGAAUUCCGGGUGGAGUGGUGAAAUGCGUAGAGAUCCGGAGGAACACCGAAGGCGAAGGCAGUGUCCUGGGGAGUACCUGACGCUCAGGUGCGAAAGCCAGGGGAGCGAACGGG
rnacentral:rRNA from 1 species